rnacentral:lncRNA from 1 species
AUGGGUACAAUACAAAAGUGGGAUGGAGAUGUGGAGUUAGCCAGGUUACUCCGAAAUGGGCUUAGCCUAAUUGACUCAGCGACCAAAGACAUUUAUUUAGCUUUCUUCGUGGAGCAUAAAUUAUUUUACUUAUAUUUUAAUCAGAGGCUAACGGAUAUUUCCUGCUUGGGAUUAUACACUGCAUUUGGAAAGUAUUCAGACCACAUUUUAUCUUACAGCCUUAUUCUAAAAUGGAUGACAUUUUUUUUUCUUUAUCAAUCUCUGAAUGGCAUAUUGUCCUCAAUACUGCAGAUACAGACAGAUGUAGGGAGACUGUCCUCAAUACUGCAGGUACAGACAGGUGUCGGGAGACUGUCCUCAAUACUGCAGGUACAGACAGGUGUCGGGAGACUGUCCUCAAUACUGCAGGUACAGACAGGUGUAGGGAGGCUGUCCUCAAUACUGCAGGUACAGACAGGUGUCGGGAGGCUGUCCUCAAUACUGCAAAUACAGACAGGUGUCGGGAGACUGUCCUCAAUACUGCAGGUACAGACAGGUGUCGGGAGACUGUCCUCAAUACUGCAGGUACAGACAGGUGUCGGGAGACUGUCCUCAAUACUGCAGGUACAGACAGGUGUAGGGAGACUGUCCUCAAUACUGCAGGUACAGACAGGUGUAGGGAGACUGUCCUCAAUACUGCAGGUACAGACAGGUGUAGGGAGACUGUCCUCAGUACUGCAGGUACAGACAGGUGUCGGGAGACUGUCCUCAGUACUGCAGAUACAGACAGGUGUAGGGAGACUGUCCUCAGUACUGCAGAUACAGACAGGUGUCGGGAGACUGUCCUCAAUACUGCUGAGUUGGAGGCUGCUACUUACUGAGACGAAGAUUGAGACGUUUCUUGCGAAGUCGCUCUGCUCUUUCGUUGCAAUGCUUUGCCCAACCAUUGAACUAUGCGUCAAGGCAACCCAUGUGACCCGUUCGCUGCUGAGCCAAUCUGCACCUCUGCAGAACUCCCGGCCAGUGUCGGAAUCCUGGACCAAACAACGUAGUUGUGCUCCGAGGCAGUGA